rnacentral:misc_RNA from 1 species
GAUGAAGAACGUAGCGAAAUGCGAUAAUUAAUGUGAAUUGCAGAAUUCCGUGAAUCAUCGAGUCUUUGAACGCACAUUGCGCCUCAUGGCAUUCCGUGAGGCAUGCCCAUCUCAGCGUUAGAAAAUAUUCUCAAAUUUUAGUUUUGUGCUAAAAUUUGGAUCAUGUCAAGGAAGCUAUUACUAUUAUUGUGAUUGCUCUUUGGAAAUUGAUAGGUCUUUGAGUUGCUACUCAUAGAACGUGAUGAAUCUUUCUUCGUUCUAUUGUAAUUCACUCUGGUAGUCCUAAAAGUUGUAUGCCUGUGGCAUAUCUUGUAAUUUGUCCUGAGAUUGGGUAGGGAUACCCGCUGAACUUAAGCAUAUCAAUAAGCGGAGGA